AAAAAUAAAACGAGUGAUGUAGAACUGAUUUCAUUAAAACCAAUCUUCCCUGUUAUUCAAUUUUCGCCGGCCUUGGGUAAGAAAGGAUUGCUGUUAUUGUGCGUAUUUGCCGUGAUUCUGCGAUGGAAACUCUUGGACUCGAACGCAAGUGAUAUUAAAACUGCGAAGAUGAGGUACUGUAUGAAGUGAAAACAGGAAAUCACAACUUGCUACAUGCCAAGAUUGAAUAGGAAUUGCCAUAACUUCCUCCAUGACAAGAGAAAAUAGGAAUUUGCCCUAAUUUGCUCCAUGACAAGAGAAAAUAAUCUCCAACUUGCUCCACUAUCAUGAUAAAUUUAAAAUUUGACGUGAUUGGCAAGCAAAUUUGUUACUACUAAAUCAGAAGCAGUGUUUGUGAGAAGAUUCAACAACACUUAACCUCGACAGAUAUCUACACACCUGGUCAGAACCCAAUAGUGAACCAUGAAUGUUUUUAUAAAUACCUUACGGGGCUAGAUGUAUCUACAUACCUGUUGAGAACCGAAUAGUGUACCAUGGAAUAAGUUUUCAUAAAUACAACACAUGGCCAGAUGUUAUCUACACACUUGUUAAGAACCCAGUAGUGCACCAUGAAUAACUGAAGAUUUAAAAUCUUAAGUUUUUUUUGUUGUAGUUUCUUUGAAUUUUUCACUAACUAUUUAGUGGUUGUAUGAAAUUAAUUCUUGCUGGCAGAAACUUUUUUUUUUUUUUUUUUUUUUUACUACAAAAAGCCAUUUAGUUACUAAAGUAAUGUAAUUUAAUUUUAAUGUAUAAUGGUCAUUUACUUUAGCAAACUUUGCUGAUUUGAAGGUUAGCAACAGGUAACUAUAUAGUCUCCUAUUUGACAAGUUCCCUCAAAGGGUAACCUUUAAAAUGGCUGAUGGCCACAAGCCAGUAACUCUGUGACUUAAGUUCUGAUUUUGUUAGAACUGUAGAAUUUAGCAUCUGAAGUUUUGAUGUAUUUUCAGUUAAUGUUCAAAGGUUUAUUAUGACGGAAAUUUAAUUAUGCCUUUUUGUACUGUUAAUACAUCUUCAGUAAUUUAUGGAA